rnacentral:rRNA from 1 species
CAGUAGCCACGGUAAUACGUAGGUGGCAAGCGUUGUCCGGAUUUAUUGGGCGUAAAGCGAGCGCAGGCGGUCAAUUAAGUCUGAUGUGAAAGCCCCCGGCUCAACCGGGGAGGGUCAUUGGAAACUGGUUGACUUGAGUGCAGAAGAGGAGAGUGGAAUUCCAUGUGUAGCGGUGAAAUGCGUAGAUAUAUGGAGGAACACCAGUGGCGAAGGCGACUCUCUGGUCUGUAACUGACGCUGAGGCUCGAAAGCGUGGGUAGCAAACAGGAUUAGAUACCCCAGUAGUCCCUGUCUCUUAUAC